UACACACUUUUUAUUACACACUUUUUAUUACACACUUUUUACAUACUUUUAUUUAGCUUCACCGCGUAUCUUCUUUGUAUAAAUCUACAUAUAUAUAUGUGCAUCAAAUCUUGUAACUUAAAUUUGAACCACUUCCUGGUGUCUGUUUGAGCUGAAAUUUGGUAUACUUCCGUAUUUCCGAUGACAAUGCAAUAGUAUGCUAAUAUGGAGCUGAUCUGAUGAUGCAGUCGGAAGGUAGCCAAAGGAACUCUUCGAUGGGAUAACGUAAACACAUUGAAUUUAGGCUCGUUUGAAAGGUUUCCAGAAGUACUUGAUAGACAUAGAGAAAGUGCAGUCGGCAAUAAAAGUAUGUGUCAAAAAUAUUUUGGACAGUUUUUUUUAUUUAAAUUGUAGGAUGGAGAAUGCUAAUGAUUCUGAGUAGAAUGAGCCUAAGUAGUCCAGCUUUGUAAGAAUCAGGUUUUCAAUAUUUAUUUUAGAAAACGCCUAAAUAUGUAUGAACCAAUAACGCAAAACUCAUGCUACUACCAAGGCAUUUUCCAUACUUUGCUACAGUACAAAAGUGCUUCUAAGGAGAUAUUUGCGUAAAUAUAUUUCUCGUUUUUCCAUCGGUAUAAUAGUUUUAACGUCUUGAAAAAACAAAGAGUCCGACCAAGAUAAGUCUGCAACGUUUUUAAUAGCACACGCAGUGCAAGUGUUAUUUUAAACUGUGUGCUCUCAAAUCGUUGCAGGCUUAUCCUGGUCUGACCCUACUAUUCGACAGUUCAUCAUCAUCAUCCUCGCGUUAUCCCGGCUUUUUGUCACGGCUCAUGGGAACCUAUGUUCCGCUCGGCAACUAAACCCAAGAGUUUGCGUAGGCAUUAGUUUUUACGAAAGCGACUGUUACCUGACCUAGAGGGGAAACUAGGCCUUACUGGGAUUAGUCCGAUUUCCUCACGAUGUUUUCCUUCACCGAAAAGUGAUUUUACUACUACCUCGAAUCCUACUUGUACACAACGUGAUCGCGAAGAAAUGGAAAAAAAUUAACCACGUAUUCCUGGCGUCAUAAGAAGGAACAAAUCGUAUACAAUCUUGGACGCGGGUACGUCCUUAAACUACAUACGUUCAAAAGAGAGGUAUGGGCAUUGUGAAUGUCAUCCUGCUUUGUGUGGUAGGGCACAGCACAGCGGAUGUCAUUCCAGAUCUAGAGCAGAGCCCAACUGGGGAAGUCCCUCCAGCUUACAGAAAACCGCAGCCAAAUAACACUAGACCCUACUCAUAGUGUUGUGUUCCUGCCGGUUAGUAAGGUUGCCAGAGCUCAGCGAGGGGAGGGAGGGUUGUUAGGAUCAGCAACGCGCAUGUGACUUCUCUGGAGUUGCAGGUGUACAUAGGCUACGGAGACUGCUUACCAUCAGGCGGGCCGUAUGCUUGUUUGCCACCGACGUAGUAUAUAAAAAAAAACAAAUACAAAUUUAAGUCAAUUCCGCCAAAAAACACUUUUUUGUACUUUUUUUACCUUUUGUAUGUUUUUAUACAUAAUAAGUAAGUACAGUCGAGGAAAUUGAUUCUUCAGCAGUUUACGGUUCACUUUACAUUGGACAGCUCUUAGCAUAAAUAUGCACAACAAAAAUUACUUGAACCGCAAAUUGCUAAAGAAUCAAUUUCCUCGACCGUACAUGUUCUUGGAAACUUAUGGAUUAAGUAAUACGAAUUGGUACAUUUUUCUUCGUAAAAACUUUUCUAUAUCAAAGUGUUCCUUGUCACUUUGAUAUCUAUAUCACAUAGCCAUCAAAAAGAAAAACUU